rnacentral:rRNA from 1 species
UACGAAGGGGGCUAGCGUUGCUCGGAAUCACUGGGCGUAAAGUGUGCGCAGGCGGCCGCGCAAGUCGAGUGUGAAAGCCCCGAGCUUAACUUGGGAAUUGCGCUCGAAACUACGUGGCUGGAGUGUGGCAGAGGAAGGUGGAAUUCCAGGUGUAGCGGUGAAAUGCGUAGAGAUCUGGAGGAACACCGAUGGCGAAGGCAGCCUUCUGGGCCAACACUGACGCUCAUGCACGAAAGCGUGGGGAGCAAACAGG